UGGAGACACGAGGUAAAAUUGGUCUUGGA
rnacentral:piRNA from 1 species